rnacentral:rRNA from 1 species
UACGUAGGGACCAAGCGUUGUUCGGAUUUACUGGGCGUAAAGGGCGCGUAGGCGGCAAUUCAAGUCAGCUGUGAAAUCUCCGGGCUUAACUCGGAACGGUCAGCUGAUACUGCUUUGCUAGAGUACAGAAGGGGCAAUCGGAAUUCUUGGUGUAGCGGUGAAAUGCGUAGAUAUCAAGAGGAACACCUGAGGUGAAGACGGGUUGCUGGGCUGAUACUGACGCUGGAGGCGCGAAAGCUAGGGUAGCAAACGGG